rnacentral:rRNA from 2 species
CCUGGCGGCCUUAGCGCGGUGGUCCCACCUGACCCCAUGCCGAACUCAGAAGUGAAACGCCGUAGCGCCGAUGGUAGUGUGGGGUC